rnacentral:rRNA from 1 species
CCCUGCCUUUUGUACACACCGCCCGUCGCACCUACCGAUUGAGUGGUCCGGUGAAACCCUCGGACUGCGGCCGAUACUCUCCGGAGUUCGGCCGCAGGAAGUUGGUUAAACCUUACCACUUAGAGGAA